AGACAGAGCUCACCAUCAUGUUAACUGGUUUAUUUUGAAGCAUAACAUUUCACCAAGGUGUAUACCUGUAUGUGAAUAUUUAACAAUUUAGAAACUGAAACAGAUGCAGAUGAAGAAUGACCUACUUGAAAAUUUACCAGCCAAGCCUGUAAGCUGUGUAGAGUAAUGUCAACACAAAGGAAAUAUCAAUUCAAGUGGAUUCCAAUGUGCAACCGCAGUCAUUAGUAUGGAUUGGUGUCAAACUUUCAAGCAUUUGCCUUAUUUAUUGAACAACCUAAUAAUUCAAAAUGGUAAUGGGAAGAGGGUGGAGUAGGAAGAUAAGGAUAGACUCUGAAACCAAGGUCCUUAGGGCUUCUAUAUGAAUUUCAGAAUUACUGUCAAAAAAUAUCUAUUGGUGUCCUUUCUCUUGUACGUAGAAAAUAAGUACACAUACAGAUAGCUGUCUAAAAAUUAAGUGUUAAGCUGGAAUUAGAUAUUGAAAUUGAGUACCAAUAUUAUCUUUAGUCAAUUUCCCUUAGGAUACUAUUUUGUGAAGAGAAAAUAUUAUUCAUGUGCAUAUUAAUUAAAGCUUUUAAAAUGAUCACUGAAAAUGUAUCCUCUGACCUGCAGAGUAUAUCCAGUGUGUGUUCUUAAGUCCUGGUGCUAGAUGCAAAUUAAAGAUGAGUAAUGCAAAUUGAAAUUUCCAUGAAAUGAAUCAUUCUACAUAAUGAGCUUUACAAAUUCCACAUUUUAUGCAAUACCAAAAAUAAAAAAA
rnacentral:lncRNA from 1 species